AAGUCGUAACAAGGUUUUCGUAGGUGAACCUGCGGAAGGAUCAUUUUCACUUAAAAUUUAUAAACAAUCGCGAACUGUUAUUCCUUCUUGGAAGAGUGGUGGGGCUUCAUCUGGGUAUUGCGUAGUUACUACUUAACUCUUUGAGUUAGUGUGUGCUGCGAGAUGACCUCAUUGCCUGGUUACUUAGAGCUGUUUAUCAGUUCUUCUUAACUGGACCUCUUCCCUGAAGCGUUAUCUUCAUUACCCAUUUCACCUCUAACAAACCCUUGUAUUAAUUUGAACUGAUCUAAUCUCAAUUAGCUUGGUAGCACCUUCGGGCGCUCCGCGUUGAGAUUUUAUUAUUUAACUAAAGAACAACUCUUAACAACGGAUAUCUUGGUUCCCG
rnacentral:misc_RNA from 1 species